UACGUAGGGGGCAAGCGUUGUCCGGAAUCAUUGGGCGUAAAGAGCGCGUAGGCGGCUCGGUAAGUCCGCUCUGAAAGCCCGGGGCUCAACCCCGGGAGGCGGGCGGAUACUGUCGGGCUAGAGUCCGGAAGAGGCGAGUGGAAUUCCUGGUGUAGCGGUGAAAUGCGCAGAUAUCAGGAGGAACACCCGUGGCGAAAGCGGCUCUCUGGGACGGUACUGACGCUGAGACGCGAAAGCGUGGGGAGCAAACAGG
rnacentral:rRNA from 1 species